rnacentral:pre_miRNA from 1 species
CGUACAAAUGCUCGAUAUCUGCUUCAGUCUUCGGAUGAUGUUGUCUCAUUUCUGACGGAGCUGGCUGGUGCCUCUUCGGCAAGUUCUUAAUCUCAAGAUUGAGAGAUAUAAUGCUCUCAAGUU